GCCUUCAUCUUCAUCCUAUACAGCAUCAAAGCCUUGACUUUUCAAAGAGCCCACCAGGACUCUUGUUUUCUGGUGAGAGGAAGUGAUAGAUCUCAGACUCAGUCAUGCCAAGGGGUUGCACCUGUGUGAUGCCUCUUGCCCCAGGGGGGAGCUCGGGACAGAACCCUGAUACCUUGGGACAACUGAGUCACAGAGGCCAGCAUGCGCCAGGCCUCAUGGUUUUGUGAAGCUUGGCCCUAAUUCAGACACGUCUUUACAUUCGUUCUUUCUGAGCAGCUGGAGGAGGGGUUCAUCUUGGUUUGAGGACACAGUCCAUUGUGGUAGGGAACACGUGGUGGCAGGAGACAGAGGCUUUACGUGUGUGUGUGUGUGUGUGUGUGUGUGUGUGUGUGUGUGUGUGUCUCAGCAAGGAAAACAGUUAUGAAGACCUCCCAGUUCAGAGUCCAGCUGGCCCUGGAGUGAUGGAGAUCCCUUGUAAGGGAGGAAGGGAAGUUAGCCAACACAGAGAGAAAGGAGGGAGAGAGGCAAGCUGGGGUGCCACAGAGGGGCUCAGACCUUGCCUGAAAGUGAGGCAAAGCCAAACCUGGACCUAGAGCCCUACGGACUGGGGUGUCUGUAUGUCUCCCCUCCCCUGCCCUGCCUUACAGUGCUGUAUGCCCUGAGGCUUCUUCAUCAGUUUUGAGAUCAAAGCCCCAUCAAGAACCCAUGAAGAACGGGGAGGCCUGUGGAGGCUGGCAGAGCCUGCGCCCGCACACCGUGUUUCUUCAGUGAGGAGGAUUGCAGCUGGCGUUUCCUGAAUGUGGGGCGAGCACCAGGCUCCAUCACAGCCCAUGGCUCCCCUCGUGUUCCCAUCGUUUCUCCAGCACCUCGAUUACUGCAGCAACUUCAAGGGACUCACCCUGGGUUUCUUCGUCUCAGUUCACGUGCAUACAAACCAGAUUUACCUUUCUGAAAGGGAAUCUUUACCUUGACUUGGGACCUACACCCGCUCACAUUCUGUGGGUGGGACCCCGUCCAGAGCCAACCUAAGUCAGUUUCCUGCACAGGUCUUGACUUCAAGUUGAAUUUUACCGGCUUUGUGUGUGGCUGUGGUGGCAGAAGGUGGGGUGGUGUUGGAUUUUCAAGACAGCAUUUAAUGUGGCCCUGGCUGGCACAGACCUCCACAUACAGGAGAGGAUGCCCUUGAACUUGUGAUCUUCCUGCCUGUUCGUCCCAAGUGCUGGAUCCUAGGCGUGUACCA